UACGGAGGGUGCAAGCGUUAAUCGGAAUUACUGGGCGUAAAGCGUGCGUAGGCGGCUAUUUAAGCCAGAUGUGAAAGCCCCGGGCUCAACCUGGGACGUGCGUUCGAUACUGAAAGGCUGGAGUCUGGCAGAGGUUGGCGGAAUUCCCGGUGUAGCGGUGAAAUGCGUAGAGAUCGGGAGGAACAUCAGUGGCGAAGGCGGCUGACUGGGUCAAGACUGACGCUGAGGUACGAAAGCGUGGGGAGCAAACAGG
rnacentral:rRNA from 1 species